rnacentral:rRNA from 1 species
UACGUAGGGUGCGAGCGUUUGUCCGGAAUUAUUGGGCGUAAAGAGCUUGUAGGCGGUUUGUCGCGUCUGCCGUGAAAGCCCAGGGCUUAACCCUGGGUCUGCGGUGGGUACGGGCAGACUAGAGUACUGCAGGGGGAGACUGGAAUUCCUGGUGUAGCGGUGGAAUGCGCAGAUAUCAGGAGGAACACCGGUGGCGAAGGCGGGUCUCUGGGCAGUAACUGACGCUGGAGGAGCGAAAGCGUGGGGAGCGAACAGG